AUGGCUUUUCCUCAUAAAGGUGCCGUUGAUGCAGGACAUGAGAUUGAAAGGCAUGCUUAUUUCCACCCAGGGGAGGAAAAAGAAGGGCGAGGGAAUCUUGAAUGUUUCUAUUGGACAAGCUUUGUGGAAUCUGAUGUUUUGUAUUCAAUUGGAUGGAAUAAAGCUAGUACGCUUGUGCUGAAAUCGUCCUUGUCUCCUGCUGCCUCUGAAGUCGAUGGUUGCUUAGGAGUUCAGAUGUCCAUUUGCAACUUGCCAAUGCUAACCACCACCGGUGACUGCAGGGUCUUGAGAAAGGUGAAAGCAGCUCCACAUUGCUGA
rnacentral:rRNA from 1 species